UACGUAGGGUGCGAGCGUUAAUCGGAAUUACUGGGCGUAAAGCGUGCGCAGGCGGUUAUGCAAGACAGAUGUGAAAUCCCCGGGCUCAACCUGGGAACUGCAUUUGUGACUGCAUGGCUGGAGUGCGGCAGAGGGGGAUGGAAUUCCGCGUGUAGCAGUGAAAUGCGUAGAUAUCAAGCGGAACACCAGUGGCGAAGGCGAGUCUCUGGACAAUUCCUGACACUGAGGCACGAAAGCCAGGGGAGCAAACGGG
rnacentral:rRNA from 1 species